CUGUCUUUGCUUCUCUUUUCUGGACCACCAUUAAAAGAUAGCGUGGGCUAUUGGAAAGCGUAUUGGACUGGAAAUUGGGAAGUCUGGGUUCUAAUUCUCUACUAACUAGUGACUGGAUUUGAAAGAUUGGAUGGGUCCAAAUUAGACCUUGGCGAAUGAAAGAAAUAAGAGAACGAUCUGAGUUGGAGGCCAUGUGAGCAGAAGCAUAUGGUGGUAUUAAAGAAAUUUUUGUAAUAAAAGACAACAACUUCCAACCCGUCAUGUGCUUUAAAACACACAAAUAUGACCUAUCCCAAU